GGGAAGGAUGAGAAGCUUCGACUAAGGUUCGACUCGAGCGAAGCGAGAGAACGUUGCCGCAGGCAACGGCCCGAAGGGCGAGGCGCUUUAGCGCCGAGUAAUCCUUCCCCCACCACU
rnacentral:sRNA from 1 species